UUAACAGAUUGCCUCUGUCAUUACCCGCCAAGAGUGGAUAUGGGAAUGUAAUUGAUGA
rnacentral:sRNA from 12 species